rnacentral:lncRNA from 1 species
GAAAAAGAUCAAUGAUGUCAGAUCUGAGAUUGGUGAUUCUGCCAUUUGAAUGCUUCUUUGUUUCUGGUUGGUUUUUCCUGCUGCUCUACAACUACUGUAAGUCCUAAUUCUUGUACAAACAUCAUGUAUAGGUACUCAUUUACACCUUGUGAUUGUAUAAAUUCCCUGCUCUUUGAAAUAACUGCUUAACUUCACUGUAACAUAUAGGGGCAUGCAGUAGAGGCAGGUAAGACUGAAACAUCCUCUGUUUUUAUUUAUUUCUUUGUUCGCUGUAGUAGUUGCUGUACAUUUCAGCUGGUUUGAUGUUUAAAAUGAGGUUUAGUCAUUGUAUCAAUGUGAUUCUAUAAUUAUCAUUAUGUGUAUUAAUAUCAUUCUAUAAAUAUCAUUAUGACUUGGGCCUGCUUUUGUGUGUACUAUUCCACUUAGGGGAGGAGCUUGUUCUGAGAUCCAGAAUGGAGGACAUGUGCAACAGGUUAGAUGCAUUAAAGACUCUUGAUUUUAUGAGUCAUUAAUGACGUAAGUUAUUAUUAAUGAGAGGUUCACAGUGAACGCUUUUCUGUGUAGGACAUACCUGCAGCUGAGGAAAUGGACACUCUGUCUCCUUGCUAAUGGAUCAUGGCUCUCCAUCGGAGAAUCCUCAGGAAGGACAGCAGGUGAAUCUUUCCAUCUCCGUCUCAACAGACAGAACCGUUUUAAAAACAGUUUUAUAUUUUCUGCUCUCAAAGCCUGUCAAGGAACAGGCUCUGGGGCUCACCAGUGGCAUUGCCAGUCACAGAAGCCAUGCCGUGGUCAUGCAUGGUCACGGAACAGACUCUGGAGCUCCUCCUAGUGGGACUAGCCAGUACUAAUAUCUCAAGAAUUACCAUUUUGCUUCUGCAUUUUUCCCAUGCAUUUUUGGACGCAUAAUGAGUACAGAAGCCUUGUGAUACUUUCACACUCCUUGAACAACACCAGAAAAUACUCCAAAGCGCAUAAUUAGCAUCCUGUGCUUUAUGUCUCAACAACCUCAUAAUCAAUAUAAUUGUGCUAAUAUGACUUGCCUAAAAUGUGAUAUACUUGUCUUUGGUCUACAUUGUUAACCUACCUUGCUAACAGUUAAAUAAAUAGUGUGUCUUUUUACA